UACGGAGGGAGCUAGCGUUGUUCGGAAUUACUGGGCGUAAAGCGCACGUAGGCGGCUUUCUAAGUCAGGGGUGAAAUCCCGGGGCUCAACCCCGGAACUGCCCUUGAAACUGGAUGGCUAGAAUCCUGGAGAGGCGAGUGGAAUUCCGAGUGUAGAGGUGAAAUUCGUAGAUAUUCGGAAGAACGCCAGUGGCGAAGGCGACUCGCUGGACAGGUAUUGACGCUGAGGUGCGAAAGCGUGGGGAGCAAACAGG
rnacentral:rRNA from 1 species